rnacentral:piRNA from 1 species
UAGAAACGGCUCAUUAGGAGAAAGCCUAU